CAGUCGCCGCGGGAAUACGUAGGUGGCAAGCGUUGUCCGGAAUUAUUGGGCGUAAAGGGCUCGCAGGCGGUUUCUUAAGUCUGAUGUGAAAGCCCCCGGCUCAACCGGGGAGGGUCAUUGGAGACUGGGAAACUUGAGUGCAGAAGAGGAGAGUGGAAUUCCACGUGUAGCGGUGAAAUGCGUAGAGAUGUGGAGGAACACCAGUGGCGAAGGCGACUCUCUGGCCUGUAACUGACGCUGAGGAGCGAAAGCGUGGGGAGCGAACAGGAUUAGAUACCCGUGUAGUCCCUGUCUCUUAUAU
rnacentral:rRNA from 1 species